UACAGAGGGUGCAAGCGUUGUUCGGAAUUAUUGGGCCUAAAGCGCGUGUAGGCGGCUUUGCAAGUCGGGUGUGAAAGCCCUCGGCUUAACCGAGGAAGUGCGCCCGAAACUGCAGAGCUUGAGUACCGGAGAGGAUGGCGGAAUUCCCCAAGUAGAGGUGAAAUUCGUAGAUAUGGGGAGGAACACCGGUGGCGAAGGCGGCCAUCUGGACGGAUACUGACGCUGAGACGCGAAAGCGUGGGGAGCAAACAGG
rnacentral:rRNA from 1 species